GUUUUUCUCAGAUGAUUGAGGUGGUGGCAUCAAUGGCACGAGGGCCUGUGUUUUUGGCCGGGGAGGUUUUAGAGUGUCUUAUAACCUUCACAAACCCUAUAUCACAUCUGUCUACAUCUGCCAGCAGUGAGAUGUUGGCCUGGGCCAGUGCUCAGAUCCACUGCCAGUUCCAUGCCAGUGAGAGUCGUGUGGCUCUACCCGCUCAGGGCACCAAGCAGGACGUCCAAGCUGAGAGCGACACUGUACUGAUACCAAGCAGAGGUGAACGAGGGCAGUGUGUGCUGGACACACCACCAAAGAUCUUGUUCUGUGACCUUCGCUUGGAUCCUGGAGAGAGCAAGACUUAUUCCUAUAGUGAGGUUGUGCCCACUGAUGGUCCACCCAGUUUCCGGGGUCAGGCAGUGAAGUACGUGUACAAGCUCACGAUUGGCUGCCAGCGAGUCAACUCACCCAUCAAGUUACUGCGAGUCCCUUUCAGAGUUUUAGUGCUUCAUGGCAUGCCAGAGCCUCCGUUUCCCCAAGAUGAGGAAGUGGCUCCCUCAAACCCCUUUCUGGAGGAGGAGGAAGGAAGCAGGAGAGAUACAAGACCGCUAGAAAGAGCUCUGGACAUGCUGAUGAUCACCACCUCACGACGAUGCCCAUAUAUGUUCAACAUCACAAACGUGCGGGGAAAGGUGGCUAAGUUCUGCAUCUUUAAGACUGUGUACAGGCUCGGGGAAGAUAUUAUUGGCACCUUCACAUUCUCAGAAGGGGAUAUUCCAUGUUUACAGUAUUCAGUAAGUCUACAAAGUGAGGAGGAGGUCCAAGAGCAGUACCAGAGACAUCCCGGCCAGGCUGUCAGUGUCACUGCUCAUGCCCGACAUCUAGAGUCCUGCUUGCACACAGCCUCCAGCCAUUUCUCUCUCCCUGUACCCCUCAAUGUCACACCAGGAUUCACCACAGAUAUAGUGACGUUAAGAUGGCGUCUGCAUUUUGAGUUCGUAACAGCGCGGGAGCCAGUGGAGGCACCGGUGGUUCUGCAGAAUCAGUCAGAAGUCACAGUAUGGACGGGGGCAGAGCAUGUGGAUGUGGACACCUUCAGUUGGGACCUUCCAAUCAAAGUGCUUCCCACAAAUCCCACGCUAGCUUCAUAUGUUUCACAGUUCACAGGGACAAACAGCAUCAACAUUUGAGUUGUGUUGGUGUUUGUGCAGGGAGAUCAUAAAACUAACGAGUUAUUGUUGUUGCGGGAUGUCCUGUUAGUGGUCUAUUUUAAAUUCAAAGGUGGCUUAUAUUUAGAGUUGUUUUGUUGGUUUUUAUCUUUUGCCGUGCAAUGAGAUGACAAUUCUUUAUUUAAGCUACUUCACAUUUCAGCCUUGACCAACAGACUGCUUUACCUCCUGUAAUGUAAAGAUUUCUGUAUUUAUUGUCUGUAUUUCAUUCGUAUGCUCCAACCUAUAAUGACAAAUGGUUUCUAUUGUAUUUCAAUUCUCUAUUACAAGCUAUUUUGUACCAUUUCUCUAUAUGCAAACCAUAACUGAAUAAAACUCAAGAACAGUUU